UAGAAUGCGCGGCCUCAAGGUGCUGGCGGCCAUGUCUGGCCAUCAGUUAAACGGGAAACAGGUGAGAAGCCUGUGCUGUCCCUGCAACGGUAAGCAAGUGUGGGUGUAGCUAUCGAGCCACUGUGACCUCGGUCAUGGGAAGGCGCUACAUCAAGUCUUGUGAGCCCGGAUACCGGCCUUGUUGUGCCGCCUGCG
rnacentral:ncRNA from 2 species